GCUAGCGUUGCUCGGAAUCACUGGGCGUAAAGCGCACGUAGGCGGCUUUCUAAGUCAGGGGUGAAAUCCUGGAGCUCAACUCCAGAACUGCCUUUGAUACUGGGGAGCUCGAGUCCGGAAGAGGUGAGUGGAACUCCGAGUGUAGAGGUGAAAUUCGUAGAUAUUCGGAAGAACACCAGUGGCGAAGGCGGCUCACUGGUCCGGUACUGACGCUGAGGUGCGAAAGCGUGGGGAGCAAACAGG
rnacentral:rRNA from 1 species